GUAUAAUAUAAUUUCCCGUUGGGCAAGGACCCUGUUUAUAAGCCUGAUGGCAGGAAUUAUCUAUUGUGGAAUAUAAAAAUGUUGGUUUGCAAACACAAGCAUAACUUGUAUUAUCCUCAUUUGUUGAAGUAAGGGUUUUCCUUGCGCCCAUAGGAUUUGACAUUUUCCAUUAUAAGGAACAAAACCAUCUAUACCACAUGGAUUUUUUACACAUUUUGCAACUGUGUCUGUAGGAGAAAGAGUUAAGUAAUGUUCAUCUGGACAAGGUCCUUGUCUAAAGGGGACUUCCAGAUUUCCAGAGAAAGUGACAUUUUCCAUUAAAAGGAACAAGGCCAUCUACAUUGCAGGGAUUUUUUUCACAUUUUGCCUCCAUCUCUCCUUCAGGUAAUACAAAAUAAUUGCCUGCAGGACAGGG